rnacentral:sRNA from 1 species
AGGGCUGGCUUGAAAUAAACCAGUUCAUC